CAGCCGCCGCGGGAAAACGUAGGGUGCGAGCGUUAAUCGGAAUUACUGGGCGUAAAGCGUGCGCAGGCGGUUGUGUAAGACAGGUGUGAAAUCCCCGGGCGUAACCUGGGAACUGCGCUUGUGACUGCACAGCUAGAGUAUGGCAGAGGGGGGUGGAAUUCCACGUGUAGCAGUGAAAUGCGUAGAGAUGUGGAGGAACACCGAUGGCGAAGGCAGCCCCCUGGGCCAAUACUGACGCUCAUGCACGAAAGCGUGGGGAGCAAACAGGAUUAGAUACCCCCGUAGUCCCUGUCUCUUAUAA
rnacentral:rRNA from 1 species